rnacentral:rRNA from 1 species
UACGAAGGGUGCAAGCGUUACUCGGAAUUACUGGGCGUAAAGCGUGCGUAGGUGGUUUGUUAAGUCUGAUGUGAAAGCCCUGGGCUCAACCUGGGAAUUGCAUUGGAUACUGGCAGGCUAGAGUGCGGUAGAGGAUGGGGAAUUCCCGGUGUAGCAGUGAAAUGCGUAGAGAUCGGGAGGAACAUCUGUGGCGAAGGCGGCCAUCUGGACCAGCACUGACACUGAGGCACGAAAGCGUGGGGAGCAAACAGG